CACGUAGGGGGCGAGCGUUGUCCGGAUUUAUUGGGCGUAAAGAGCUCGUAGGCGGUUCGGCAAGUCGGGUGUGAAAUUUCGAGGCUCAACCUCGAAACGCCACUCGAUACUGCUGUGACUGGAGUCCGGUAGAGGAGUGCGGAAUUCCUGGUGUAGCGGUGAAAUGCGCAGAUAUCAGGAGGAACACCAACGGCGAGGGCAGCACUCUGGGCCGGUACUGACGCUGAGGAGCGAAAGCGUGGGGAGCAAACAGG
rnacentral:rRNA from 1 species